GCGGUACAUAAAUAAAAUAUUAAAUACAGAUAAAAAAAAUAAUCAAUUGUAUAAUUCAUCUAUAAUUUAUGAGACGAAUCUUUUAGCCAUAGACAGUCUAUGAUUGAAUAAUAAUUGUUAAAUAUACAUAAAAAUACUACAGUGCUCAAAUAAAAAAAUUGGACAAAAAGGAACGGCAUGCAGGAAAUGAUGCCCAAGUAAAGGCGCAAUCCAUGUCAGGCCCAAAUUAAAAGGCCACAUGGAGCGACCCGUUUGCCCU
rnacentral:lncRNA from 1 species